rnacentral:rRNA from 1 species
AGCUUGCUGGGGUGGAAAGAGUGGGCGAAACGGGGGUGAGUAAACACGUGAGUAAACCCCUGCCCCCGAAACUCUGGGAUAAGCGCUGGAAACGGCGUCUAAUACUGGAUAUGUCCCAUCACCGCAUGGUGUGUGGGUGGAAAGAUUUAUCGGUUCGGGAUGGACUCGCGGCCUAUCAGCUUGUUGGUGAGGUAAUGGCUCACCAAGGCGACGACGGGUAGCCGGCCUGAGAGGGUGACCGGCCACACUGGGACUGAGACACGGCCCAGACUCCUACGGGAGGCAGCAGUGGGGAAUAUUGCACAAUGGGCGCAAGCCUGAUGCAGCAACGCCGCGUGAGGGAUGACGGCCUUCGGGUUGUAAACCUCUUUUAGUAGGGAAGAAGCGAAAGUGACGGUACCUGCAGAAAAAGCACCGGCUAACUACGUGC